rnacentral:tRNA from 1 species
GGCUCAGUGGUCUAGUGGUUAAAUGUUCGUGCUUGAGACCAAAGGUCCUGGGUUCGAGUCCUACGGGCAGGACC